CGGGGCAUGGCUCAGCUUGGUAGAGCGCUGCGUUCGGGACGCAGAGGUCGCAGGUUCGAAUCCUGUUGCCCCGA
rnacentral:tRNA from 4 species